AUUGAACGCUGGCGGCAGGCCUAACACAUGCAAGUCGAGCGGAUGAAGGGAGCUUGCUCCUGGAUUCAGCGGCGGACGGGUGAGUAAUGCCUAGGAGUCUGCCUGGUAGUGGGGGAUAACGUGCGGAAACGGGCGCUAAUACAGCGUACGUCCUGAGGGAGAAAGAGGGGGAUCUUCAGAGCUCACGCUAUCAGAUGAGCCUAGGUUGGAUUAGCUAGUUGGGGGGGUAAAGGCCUACCAAGGCGACGAUCCGUAACUGGUCUGAGAGGAUGAUCAGCAACAUUGAAAUUAGGACACGGCCCAGACUCCUAGGGGAGGCAGAAGUGGGGAUUAUUGGACAAUGGGGGAAACCCUAAUCCAGCAAUGCGGGGGGGGUGAAGAAGGCCUCCGAGUUGUAAAGCACUUAAGUUGGGAGGAAGGGCAGUAUGUUAAUACCCUGCGGUUUUGACGUUACCAACAGAAUAAGCACCGGCUAACUUCGUG
rnacentral:rRNA from 1 species